rnacentral:lncRNA from 1 species
UUUGGGCCUAAUAGGCCAACAUGAUUAUUUAUAAACCCAAGACAUCGGCCGACAAGGCCGUACAAUCUUUCACGUACAUGACAUAUAUCUACAAGCCUCUAAGAAUACAUAAAUGUCAUAAAGGUCGGGACAGAUUCCCGCCAUACCAAACAAUACACGUCUAAAUCAUACCAGCUAAAUAAGCAGCUCUAAAGCAAAUAGAGCGCACCAACAUCUUCCGCUGAGCUGAUAGCCUACACGGAGGGCUCUCGACUGUCUAUCGGGACCUGCGGGCAUGAAACGCAACGUCCCCAGAAAAAAAGGGACGUCAGUACGAAUAAUGUACCGAGUAUGUAAGGCACAUAAAUAAGUACAUAAGAGAUAUGGAAGAAAUAUAGAGUGCAUGACUCAACCUGUAAGUCUGAAUAACUUUGCAAAUCAUAAAUUACUUUUAGCGUCAUGCAUAUGCGUAUGACUGUUAUGUCGUGCAUAGGUACAUAUUUCAUAACAUCAUCAUCCUCUGAGGGCAUCUCGUCAUAUCAUAUCGGCCACUGUAGGCAAAAUCAUCAUUGUAUACUAGCUGAUCAGGUGGUGGUGCGUAUAUAACGCCAUAACCUUUCCCAUAUCCCAUAUACAUAUAUAUACAUACAUAUAUAUGCGUAUAUAACUCCGUUUGAGUACAUACAUACAUAUAUAUAUGCGUAUAACGCCGUUUGUAGCAUAUUUCAGCCACUGUGGGCAACAUCAUCAUCAUAUANNNNNNNNNNNNNNNNNNNNNUCCCAUAUCCCAUAUACAUAUAUCUACAUAUAUACGUGUAUAUAAUGUCAUCUGGUCAUGGGUCAAUGCACAUGAACGCAAUGCAUGUAAAGUACAUCAAUAAAAUCAUUCGGAAUGUCAUAAGAACAUUUUGCCUCUUGAGCAAUAUCAUAAAGUAACAUCUUUUCAACUUUCGUAUUUUUCUGAGACCCAUGAACAGAUGAUAAAAUAUUAUGACACAUGAAAAUUAAAUAACAUAUAUAUUUCUAUUACUUUUAUGAGUAGAGUCACUUAUGUAAUUUGUGCAUUUGCACGUUUUGUUCAUAUCGUAUGUAUCAUGCCAAAAGAAAGAAGGGAUAACCUUAACAUACCUGUUCUUGAAUUAUUUGAACAAAAUGAAGCUUUCUACUUCUUGCGAAAUAUGAACGAACCUAUGCUUGGAUUGAACAAAAUUAGACUGAAAUUUUGAUCAAAAUUUUUGAAUUUGUUGAACGAAAUGAUUCUGUUGGUUCAAGACAGAAUAUAAAUGUUUGGUUUCACGUUUUUGGUUCAAGACAAAAAUGCAAAUGCUUGUUUGAUCUUGAAUUGUCUUGAAUACAAAUGUUUGGUUUUACGUUUUUGGUUCAAGACAAAACUGUAAAUGCUUGUUUGAAAUGGAAUUUUUGCUUUUGCCUAAUGUCUUGCCCUUUUAAGCCAAAGGCAGAUUUGGCUUAGCCCUUUUCAAGAAAUUUCAUGGAUUCUAUUCAAUUCUUAUCAAGAUUUUGACUUAGUCAUUAUUUUGUUACUACAUGAUAGCCAUCUGGCAAGGUGACUUAAGAGUCAUCCUUUGCCUAGUGUGACUUUAUGCCACGUGGUGAAGAUUAUUAAUCUUUACCCACUUAUUAGUUAACUGGGUAAUGUUAUGUUACCCGGUAAUUAAUCAAUUACCCGCAUAAUUUAAAAAUUGUCUCAACUUAAUUAAAUACUACUCUAUUUUAACAUACCUUGUACACCUUAUGGUCAUAUAGUACCUUGUGUGGCACUAGUCCAUAAAUAUCGGGUAUUUUAGCUUGGGCCAUAUUUUAUCCCAAAAGGCCAAAUUUCAACGAAACUCAUUUUCUUUGACUUGCUUCCCCUUUCAUCUUCACGAAUUUACUUAUCACUCUUUUGAAAUAGCGUAAUACUUAUAAUCCAAAAUAAAUCUCAUUCCCGAACUUUCGUCGAUUAACUUAUGAUGAAACUUCAACUUACGAAAAUGCAGGACAUAACAUCUCAUUUUCGAUCUCUCAUUAAUUUAUUUAUGGUAUUUUUCAUGUACGAAAAUAUGAGGCAUAAUAUCAUUCCCUCAUUUGGAACAUUCGUCCUCGAAUGUUGACUGAUGUGCUUAUCAUCCUCAUGUCCCAUAGCUCUUACGAAUACUUUAGUAGUCCUUUUACCAUCUAGGCAACUGUUCUAUGAAUGAGUUUAAAGGCCAUGUCAUUCCCCCCUUUAGGCCUCUUUCCCAUGCCAUGACUUGUAAUCGAGUUCCUUCCAAUCUCAUAACUGCUGCUACCUUCCAUUAUGCAGUUUGUACGACACUGACCUUGUAAGUGUUCCUAUGCGACUCUUUGCUCCUUUUUCCUCCAGCUUUUAGCCAAUCCUGAAGUUCUUCGCUUGGUAUUUUAUCGAACUUAUGAAUACUGCUAUAUCUUAUUUUGUAGACCUGGUUAUCCAUUUGUAUAACUUUACUGCAUCUACAUAGGUCAUACUAUACCAUAGCACUUGCCUCGAUUUCUCGUUACUGAUGUCUGCUACCAAAUCUCAGGUAACUUUCAUUGCUUAUCUCGUACGUACAAAUCUAUGUCCUCUAAUGCACCUACAUUACUGUUCAUCUUUAAGAAUUACGACCUAAUCUCCCCUCAUACUUUAUAACUUUUAUCCAUCAGUUGUUGAUUCACCUCAAUAUUGGUUAACAAUAUACCAUUGAUAGCUUGCAACCUCUUACGUAAUCAUUAGGGUUCAUGUUGCAUCACGGAACAUUUGAAGUGAUUUUUCCGAUCCACCUGGGGAUGAUACGAUAUUAUACUUCCAUAACCGUAUUUCAUAGUAUCCCAAUGUGAUUCCGUUACAUAGGUAUUUUAGUCACGUACAAUUAUCGAAAUCCCUUUAUUUAUCACAAUUACACCCUCAUUCUAUUAUCAGGGCAGCAUUUCAUCUCUUCUAAAUGCUACUAGUCAUAGACUCCUUUGUUUUCACGGUCUUAAUCCCGAAGACACAUCCAUUUCUGUCACCUUCUCCCUUGCCUUUUUCUUAUCCUUACUCUUGUAUUUCUACAACUUUGUCUUUCUAUAAUACUUUAGCUUGCGAUCGAUUCCCUUAUGCUUUUCUGGAACAUCAAGCGAGACAUUGCAUCGUCUCUAACUCUUCUUUUACUCUCUAAUUAGACAUUUUGGUACUUAAAAACCGUAGGUUGGAAAAUAUGCUACUGAUGAUGCUGCUAUCAUCCCUGGAUACUGGAUCCCGGCGUUUCUAGUCUUUUACCUAAAGUAUGGCCCACUCUCAUUCUCCUAUACUUGUUGUCCACCUUUACCUUACUUACUUUAAAAUAUCACCUUACAUUUUUCUAUCUUUCUUUCACAACCUACUGUCCACAUAGGUAUACAUCACAUCCACCACUUGAAGCUCUAUUAUAAUACUUGCACCUUUGGUGCCUGUACAAUCCGGUGGGAGCUCCAUACUGACUUCUUAUGAGGAUGGUACUUCUUCUAACUGGAUUUAUCGUAGAGCCGUUAUAGAAUAUAGUUGUUGUUCUAUCUCUCUUGAACCUCUAAUAUUAAGAGUGGCUCUACUAUGUUCUCAAUUAUGAUUUUUAUAACUUAUGGGUCCAAUAAUCGGAUUCCUGAUUUACUUCAUUGAUGUAAUCCUUUAGUUUCCUCCUUUUUCUGGUCGGCAUUUAUGUCGGGUUAAGUUACCUUCUGAUCUGUGGUUCAUAGUAUUAGUUAUUCCGUUUAGCCUUUUCAUGGGCGAUGAGUAAUAUGCAUGAUACAAUCCUUUCACAAUUUAAUCUUUCGUCUACGACCUGGGUUCAAUUCUUUCUUUUAACAUAUACCAACAUCUUCUAUGUCUAUAUAUGUUGCAUGUAUAAAACUCCGAACCCUUAAGUGCGUUCAUAAUAUAACCCACUCUGGAUCAUUGAUCGAAUAAUUUCUUUCGUUCCAUGUUAGCUUUCUUUCAGCAUAAGCUAUUACUUUUCCUUGUCUUUUUGCCCCCUUGUUGCAUCCAUACUUAUCUUAUCUGAAUUCCACACAUGCCAGAGUUUUCAUACAACUCACAUAAUCUCGAAUAUUACUUUUAAUUUUACUUUCCGUUCAUUAGCCACGAUAGGUGCCACUUUCCUUUGGAGUGCUUAUAAUGUUGUUGUGAGACUGUUGUUACACGACCAUUUCCUCUUUAGGUCGUUGUGCUUAGGUUGAAACCUUCUUCCUUAUUUCCUUAGCUAGUCUUACGUUGUAGUACUUAGGGAGAACCCUUGUCUCUCGUAAAGAUGGGAGCUUAUUACUGACCUUUUUGAUGUCCUCCCUUGCUAUAAUCAUCCGUAGUUGCUUACCUCCGUACCCUUGUGCUUGUAAGGUUACUUCUGAACUGAUAUUUUGACUGCCUUCCCCGUGGAACUUUCUUUUAUCCCUAUAACACUCAUACGAUACCUUUAACUACUCUAACUCAUAUUUGAAUAUACCUCAAGUAUUAUAAUGACAUUACUGCGAGGAUAAAUUUUCCAUGUUGGGGUUUACUACACUUAUCUUGCAUGAGUUGCUGAUUUGUCUGUAACUUCUUGUCUAGCCAUAGCUAGGCUCUUCCUAAAUCAACUACUAACUACUUAUCGGCCCACUUCCUGUAUCAAUAUCCCGCGUAAUCUUUCUUGGGUUAUUUUCUUUGUCUUAACUUACCCCUUACACUAAUUCCUUAUUAAUCAGUAAUAUCUCGGGCAGGAACCCUUACUUCCUCUCCUUUACAUCGUGUUUGCAUAAUACUCUGGUAUCGUAGCAUAUCUGUAGUCUUUGAGUAAGUGAAACCUCAUCCCUUUUUCGUUUUAUCGCAUUCUUCCUUUAUCAUUUCAUAUUCCCCCCUUUAGGAGAGUACUAAGACUUGGAGCUAUGACGGCCUACCUAUAGAUGUUUUGCCUCUUCAUCUUUGACGUUCUUUCACAUUAUCGAUGACCCUUACUUGCCUUGCGGUAAUUCUUCUGUACCAAGGAUAACAAAAUUCCUUAUUCGCAAGAGUGGAACUUAGUGUAACUAGCACAUAUAGUCCCUUAAGCUUAACUUUGCUCAUAUUUCUUGCUCUAAAGAAGCGUUUCCCUGAAUGACUAUUCUCUGAAUUCAUCGUGAAUCUUCUUCUGUUGUCCAUUCUAUUACUGCCGGAACAAAAUCUGAAACUCCUAUGAUGCCGAGUAUUUUCCAAUCAUUCAAUCCUUAAUUCAUAUUUAGUUUACCUUGUUUACCAGUCCAUACUGAUUUCUAUUACUCUGGGAAUUAACUCUCCCCUCUGGUAGGCGCGUUGGAGUCACAAACUUAUUUCUCAAAAUGAGGAUAUAACCUUAUGGCCUAUAUUCUUUUGUUGUCUCAAGGCCCAUCACCUUUCGUCUCUUCCUUCAUUGACUAUAGGUUCUGUAACAUUCUACCGUUUUCAUCCAUGUAUCACACCUUAUUCAUAAUGCUUCCUUAUCUCUCUCUCAUUAUUCUGCUAAUAUUUCUGCAUAUUCCUUUUCUUGUGAAAACUUCAAUACGACAUUCUUUCGCUCUUAGCUUUCCUUUGCUCCAUCCAGUGGAUCUUCAAGUUGCUUAACGUUCUCGCUUUACUAGGGACACGAGCAACACUAAGAUAAUAUUUAUCCCUUCAAGGCUUAUAGUACAUGUCUUUGUAGUACUCAUAUCUGGCUGCACUAUUUUAAAGUGUUCCAUCUGGGAAUCUCACAAGGAGAUCUAUUAGCACAUUUGACAUAUCCUUCGAAAAUGUCAACUGACACAAACAAUUCAUCCAUCAUAUCUUCUUAUACUAUUUCUAUUAACCCUCAUAGGGCAUAUCUGGAAUGGGUGUGCCAAUUGUAUAUACCUCUACUAUAUUUGAAUAUAACUCAAAAAGCUUAUGUUCCUCUGCCUGAAUUAUAAACACUGUUAACCUUUGUUAAUUGGGCGCCUUAUACCCUUCUUCAUCUUGCUUCUUUUACUUACUGAAACUUGUACUUAUCUUCUUAAUUUCUCAUUAUCCUUCACUAUAAAGAUGGAUAGGCAUUCUUGCCUUGAGGCUUUUUAUCAAGAGGCUUACACCUUUCAGCACACACAUGAUCUGCUGAAGACCUCAUAUUUACUUAUCAUAAGCAUCAUGCAAAGUUGAGUUCCACUAAUCCAACACUUCCACAGCUAUAGCUCUUAUCGAUCAUCUUUCUGAACGUAGGCAUUAUCUUAUUACGAAUAAAAAUAGAAGCUCAGAACUUGAAUUCUUAUAAAUGAGCUCUACCACACGAUCUAGAGUAAGAAGAAAGAGUGACAGUCUUAAAUGCCCUGUAGCCUCCUGCUUAUAAGUGUGGUGCACGACACACCCAUAAACAAGACUCUACUAGACACGACUUGUAGACUUCCUCGGACAGAACUACUCUGAUACCACUUUUGUUACGACCCAAACCGAUGGGCCGCGACAGGCACUCGGUACCUUACUCAACCGAGUACCAACGUAACGUAUCUUUCUUAUUACAUUAUCAUAUACACAUGACAUACGAGCAUAAUAGGCCAACAUGAUUAUUUAUAAACCCAAGACAUCGGCCGACAAGGCCGUACAAUCUUUCACGUACAUGACAUAUGUCUACAAGCCUCUAUGAAUACAUAAAUGUCAUAAAGGUCGGGACAGAGUCCCGCCAUACCAAACAAUACACGUCUAAAUCAUACCAGCCAAACAAGCAGCUCCGAAGCAAAUGGAGCGCACCAACAUCUUCCGCUGAGCUGAUAGCCUACAUGGAGGGCUCUCAACUGUCUAUCGGGACCUGUGGGCAUGAAACCCAGUGUCCCCAGGCAAAAGGGAUGUUAGUACGAAUAAUGUACCGAGUAUGUAAGGCACAUAAAUAAGUACAUAAGAGACAUGGAAGAAAUAUAGAGUACAUGACUCAACCUGUAAGUCUGAAUAACUUUGCAAAUCAUAAAUUACUUUUAGCGUCAUGCAUAUGCGUAUGACUGUCAUGUCAUGCAUAGGUACAUGUUUCAUAACAUCAGCCCUAAGGGCAUCCCAUCAUAUCAUAUCGGCCAUUGUGGGCAAAAUCAUCAUCGUAUACCAGCUGAUCAAGUGGUGGUGCGUAUAUAACGCCACAACCUUUCCCAUAUCCCAUAUACAUAUAUAUAUAUAUAUAUACGCGUAUAUAACGCUAUUUGAUUACAUACAUAUAUAUGCGUAUAUAACGCCGUUUGCAGCAUAUUUCAGCCAUUAUGGGCAAUAUCAUCAUCAUAUACCAGCUGACCAGGUGGUGGUGCAUAUAUAAUGUCGUAACCUUUUCCCAUAUCCCAUAUACAUAUAUUUACAUAUAUACGCGUAUAUAACACCAUCUAGUCAUCGGUCAAUGUACAUGAACGCAAUGCAUGUAAAGUACUCAAUAAAAUCAUUCGGAAUGUCAUAAGACCAUUUUGCCUCUUGAGCAAUAUCAUAAAGUAACAUCUUUUCAACUUUCGUAUUUUUCUGAGACCCAUGAACAGAUGAUAAAAUAUUAUGACACAUGGAAAUUAAAUAACAUAGAUAUUUCUAUUACUUCUAUGAGUAAAGUCAUUUAUGGAAUUUAUGCAUUUGCACAUUUUGUUCAUAUCGUAUGGAUCAUGCCAAAAGAAAGAAGGGAUAGCCUUAAGAUACCUGUUCUUGGAAUUAUUUGAACAAAAUGAAGCUUUCUACUUCUUGCGAAAUAUGAACGAACCUAUGCUUGGAUUGAACAAAAUUAGGCUGAAAUUUCAAUCGAAAUUUUUGAAUUUGUUGAACAAAAUGAUUCUGUUGGUUCAAGACAGAAUAUAAAUGUUUGGUUUCACAUUUUUGGUUCAAGGCAAAAAUGCAAAUGUUUGUUUGAUCUUGAAUUGUCUUGAAUACAAAUGUUUGGUUUUACGUUUUUGGUUCAAGACAAAACUGCAAAUGCUUGUUUGAAAUGCAAUUUUUG